GUGGGGAAUCUUGCGCAAUGGGCGAAAGCCUGACGCAGCCAUGCCGCGUGAAUGAUGAAGGUCUUAGGAUUGUAAAAUUCUUUCACCGGGGACGAUAAUGACGGUACCCGGAGAAGAAGCUCCGGCUAACUUCGUGCCAGCAGCCGCGGUAAUACGAAGGGGGCUAGCGUUGCUCGGAAUUACUGGGCGUAAAGGGCGCGUAGGCGGACAGCUUAGUCAGAGGUGAAGGCCCAGGGCUCAACCUUGGAAUUGCCUUUGAUACUGGCUGUCUUGAGUUUGGGAGAGGUGGGUGGAACUCCGAGUGUAGAGGUGAAAUUCGUAGAUAUUCGGAAGAACACCAGUGGCGAAGGCGACUCACUGGCCCGUUACUGACGCUGAGGCGCGAAAGCGUGGGGAGCAAACAGGAUUAGAUACCCGAGUAGUCC
rnacentral:rRNA from 1 species